rnacentral:rRNA from 1 species
GGAAUUGACGGGGCCCGCACAAGCGGUGGAGUAUGUGGUUUAAUCGAUGCAACGCGAAGAACCUUACCUGGUCUUGACAUCCCGGAGACCCUUAGGAAACUAGGGGGUGCUUCCAUCUGGAAGAAUCUGGAGACAGGUGCUGCAUGGCUGUCGUCAGCUCGUGUCGUGAGAUGUUGGGUUAAGUCCCGCAACGAGCGCAACCCUUGCCUUUAGUUGCCAGCAGUUCGGCUGGGCACUCUAAAGGGACUGCCGGUGUUAAACCGGAGGAAGGUGGGGAUGACGUCAAGUCCUCAUGGCCUUUAUGACCAGGGCUACACACGUACUACAAUGGCCGAUACAAAGGGCAGCGACACUGCGAGGUGAAGCCAAUCCCGUAAAAUCGGUCUCAGUCCGGAUUGGAGUCUGCAACUCGACUCCAUGAAGUUGGAAUCGCUAGUAAUCGUGGAUCAGCAUGCCACGGUGAAUACGUUCCCGGGCCUU